rnacentral:rRNA from 1 species
ACUCCUACGGGAGGCAGCAGUGGGGAAUAUUGCACAAUGGGCGCAAGCCUGAUGCAGCCAUGCCGCGUGUGUGAAGAAGGCCUUCGGGUUGUAAAGCACUUUCAGUCGUGAGGAAGGUAGUGUAGUUAAUAGCUGCAUUAUUUGUACGUUAGCGACAGAAGAAGCACCGGCUAACUCCGUGCCAGUAGCCGCGGUAAGUACGGAGGGUGCGAGCGUUAAUCGGAAUUACGUGGGCGUAAAGCGCAUGCAGGUGGUUUGUUAAGUCAGAUGUGAAAGCCCGGGGCUCAACCUCGGAAUAGCAUUUGAAACUGGCAGACUAGAGUACUGGUAGAGGGGGUUAGGAAUUUCAGGUGUAGCGGUGAAAUGCGUAGAGAUCUGAAGGAAUACCGGUGGCGAAGGCGGCCCCUGGACAGAUACUGACACUCAGAUGCGAAAGCGUGGGAGCAAACAGGAUUAGAUACCCCUGGUAGACUGUCA